rnacentral:lncRNA from 1 species
GAACACAUCUUUACUGUCAUAGGUGAGGAAAGAGCAGGAUAACUAUGGGAAAAUCAAUAUGACCAAAUUUGUUACUGCCAUGGAGAGUAUUAAUAGAAUUACAAUAAAGGAAUGAAAAAUGACUGGAUGGCAAAGGCCUCUGCACCAUAGGUAUUUAACAUAAGCACAGUGAGAGAAGUCAGUUUAGUCCAGCUUUUCCCUUACUGAUAUCACUUGUGUUUCAGGGCAGGAUAAACCUUCCAAGUUACCUCU